UACGUAGGAGACGAGCGUUGUCCGGAGUUACUGGGCGUAAAGCGCGUGUAGGCUGCUUCAUAAGUCGGGUGUGAAAGCCCUGGGCUCAACCUAGGAAGUGCACUCGAAACUGCGAAGCUUGAGUCCUGGAGAGGAAGGCGGAAUUCUCGGUGUAGAGGUGAAAUUCGUAGAUAUCGUGAGGAACACCAGAGGCGAAGGCGGUUACCUGGACAGUUACUGACGCUCAGGCACGAAAGCGUGGGGAGCAAAAGGG
rnacentral:rRNA from 1 species